rnacentral:rRNA from 1 species
GAGCGGCGGACGGGUGAGUAAUGCCUAGGAAAUUGCCCUGAUGUGUGGGAUAACCAUUGGAAACGAUGGCUAAUACCGCAUAAUGCCUACGGGCCAAAGAGGGGGACCUUCGGGCCUCUCGCGUCAGGAUAUGCCUAGGUGGGAUUAGCUAGUUGGUGAGGUAAUGGCUCACCAAGGCGACGAUCCCUAGCUGGUCUGAGAGGAUGAUCAGCCACACUGGAACUGAGACACGGUCCAGACUCCUACGGGAGGCAGCAGUGGGGAAUAUUGCACAAUGGGCGCAAGCCUGAUGCAGCCAUGCCGCGUGUGUGAAGAAGGCCUUCGGGUUGUAAAGCACUUUCAGUCGUGAGGAAGGUGGUAGUGUUAAUAGCACUAUCAUUUGACGUUAGCGACAGAAGAAGCACCGGCUAACUCCGUGCCAGCAGCCGCGGUAAUACGGAGGGUGCGAGCGUUAAUCGGAAUUACUGGGCGUAAAGCGCAUGCAGGUGGUUUGUUAAGUCAGAUGUGAAAGCCCGGGGCUCAACCUCGGAAUAGCAUUUGAAACUGGCAGACUAGAGUACUGUAGAGGGGGGUAGAAUUUCAGGUGUAGCGGUGAAAUGCGUAGAGAUCUGAAGGAAUACCGGUGGCGAAGGCGGCCCCCUGGACAGAUACUGACACUCAGAUGCGAAAGCGUGGGGAGCAAACAGGAUUAGAUACCCUGGUAGUCCACGCCGUAAACGAUGUCUACUUGGAGGUUGUGGCCUUGAGCCGUGGCUUUCGGAGCUAACGCGUUAAGUAGACCGCCUGGGGAGUACGGUCGCAAGAUUAAAACUCAAAUGAAUUGACGGGGGCCCGCACAAGCGGUGGAGCAUGUGGUUUAAUUCGAUGCAACGCGAAGAACCUUACCUACUCUUGACAUCCAGAGAACUUUCCAGAGAUGGAUUGGUGCCUUCGGGAACUCUGAGACAGGUGCUGCAUGGCUGUCGUCAGCUCGUGUUGUGAAAUGUUGGGUUAAGUCCCGCAACGAGCGCAACCCUUAUCCUUGUUUGCCAGCGAGUAAUGUCGGGAACUCCAGGGAGACUGCCGGUGAUAAACCGGAGGAAGGUGGGGACGACGUCAAGUCAUCAUGGCCCUUACGAGUAGGGCUACACACGUGCUACAAUGGCGCAUACAGAGGGCAGCAAGCUAGCGAUAGUGAGCGAAUCCCAAAAAGUGCGUCGUAGUCCGGAUUGGAGUCUGCAACUCGACUCCAUGAAGUCGGAAUCGCUAGUAAUCGUGGAUCAGAAUGCCACGGUGAAUACGUUCCCGGGCCUUGUACACACCGCCCGUCACACCAUGGGAGUGGG